rnacentral:rRNA from 1 species
UACGAAGGGUGCAAGCGUUACUCGGAAUUACUGGGCGUAAAGCGUGCGUAGGUGGUUUGUUAAGUCUGUUGUGAAAGCCCCGGGCUCAACCUGGGAAUGGCAAUGGAUACUGGCAGGCUAGAGUGCGGUAGAGGGUAGUGGAAUUCCCGGUGUAGCGGUGAAAUGCGUAGAGAUCGGGAGAACACCAGUGGCGAAGGCGGCUACCUGGACCAGCACUGACACUGAGGCACGAAAGCGUGGGGAGCAA